GUCAGGAUGGCCGAGUGGUCUAAGGCGCCAGACUCAAGGUUCGCACCUUGCCUGCGGGUGUUCUGGUCUCCGCAUGGAGGCGUGGGUUCGAAUCCCACUUCUGACA
rnacentral:tRNA from 1 species